UACAGAGGUCCCAAGCGUUGUUCGGAUUUACUGGGCGUAAAGCGUGCGCAGGCGGCUAUGCAAGACAGAUGUGAAAUCCCCGGGCUCAACCUGGGAACUGCAUUUGUGACUGCAUAGCUAGAGUACGGUAGAGGGGGAUGGAAUUCCGCGUGUAGCAGUGAAAUGCGUAGAUAUGCGGAGGAACACCGAUGGCGAAGGCAAUCCCCUGGACCUGUACUGACGCUCAUGCACGAAAGCGUGGGGAGCAAACAGG
rnacentral:rRNA from 1 species